rnacentral:rRNA from 1 species
CCUACGGGAGGCAGCAGUGGGGAAUAUUGCACAAUGGGGGGAACCCUGAUGCAGCGACGCCGCGUGAGUGAAGAAGUAUUUCGGUAUGUAAAGCUCUAUCAGCAGGGAAGAAAAUGACGGUACCUGACUAAGAAGCCCCGGCUAACUACGUGCCAGCAGCCGCGGUGAUACGUAGGGGGCAAGCGUUAUCCGGAUUUACUGGGUGUAAAGGGGGCGUAGACGGUGGCGCAAGUCUGACGUGAAAGCUCGGGGCCGAACCCCGGGACUGCCUUGGAAACUGUUGAACUGGAGUACAGGAGGGGUAAGCGGAAUUCCUAGUGUAGCGGUGAAAUGCGUAGAUAUUAGGAGGAACACCAGUGGCGAAGGCGGCUUACUGGACUGUAACUGACGUUGAGGCUCGAAAGCGUGGGGAGCAAACAGGAUUAGAUACCCCUGUAGUC